ensembl:snRNA U1 U1 spliceosomal RNA
ACACUUACCUGGCCAGGGAGAUACCAUGAUCACGAAGGUGGUUCACCCAGAGUGAGGCCCAGCCAUUGCACUGUGGCUGUACCGACCCCUGCAAAUUCCACAAAUGUGCACAUCUCCACUGCAUAAUUUCCGGUAGUGGGGGACUGCGUUCACGCUCUCUCCUG